rnacentral:snoRNA from 1 species
AACCCAUGGUGAGGGUGCCUUCUCAAAAGUUCCUUGUAUAUCUCCCAUGCAUUGUAGAGUGUUUCUAAAUCCAUCUGUACAAAAGAAGAGAUAUCAUUAUGUAAUU